rnacentral:rRNA from 1 species
GACGAACGCUGGCGGCGUGCUUAACACAUGCAAGUCGAACGGAAAGGCCCUGCUUUUGUGGGGUGCUCGAGUGGCGAACGGGUGAGUAACACGUGAGUAACCUGCCCUUGACUUUGGGAUAACUUCAGGAAACUGGGGCUAAUACCGGAUAGGAGCUCCUGCUGCAUGGUGGGGGUUGGAAAGUUUCGGCGGUUGGGGAUGGACUCGCGGCUUAUCAGCUUGUUGGUGGGGUAGUGGCUUACCAAGGCUUUGACGGGUAGCCGGCCUGAGAGGGUGACCGGCCACAUUGGGACUGAGAUACGGCCCAGACUCCUACGGGAGGCAGCAGUGGGGAAUAUUGCACAAUGGGCGGAAGCCUGAUGCAGCAACGCCGCGUGCGGGAUGACGGCCUUCGGGUUGUAAACCGCUUUCGCCUGUGACGAAGCGUGAGUGACGGUAAUGGGUAAAGAAGCACCGGCUAACUACGUGCCAGCAGCCGCGGUGAUACGUAGGGUGCGAGCGUUGUCCGGAUUUAUUGGGCGUAAAGGGCUCGUAGGUGGUUGAUCGCGUCGGAAGUGUAAUCUUGGGGCUUAACCCUGAGCGUGCUUUCGAUACGGGUUGACUUGAGGAAGGUAGGGGAGAAUGGAAUUCCUGGUGGAGCGGUGGAAUGCGCAGAUAUCAGGAGGAACACCAGUGGCGAAGGCGGUUCUCUGGGCCUUUCCUGACGCUGAGGAGCGAAAGCGUGGGGAGCGAACAGGCUUAGAUACCCUGGUAGUCCACGCUGUAAACGGUGGGUACUAGGUGUGGGGUCCAUUCCACGGGUUCCGUGCCGUAGCUAACGCUUUAAGUACCCCGCCUGGGGAGUACGGCCGCAAGGCUAAAACUCAAAGGAAUUGACGGGGCCCCGCACAAGCGGCGGAGCAUGCGGAUUAAUUCGAUGCAACGCGUAGAACCUUACCUGGGUUUGACAUGGAUCGGGAGUGCUCAGAGAUGGGUGUGCCUCUUUUGGGGUCGGUUCACAGGUGGUGCAUGGCUGUCGUCAGCUCGUGUCGUGAGAUGUUGGGUUAAGUCCCGCAACGAGCGCAACCCUUGUUCACUGUUGCCAGCACGUUAUGGUGGGGACUCAGUGGAGACCGCCGGGGUCAACUCGGAGGAAGGUGGGGAUGACGUCAAGUCAUCAUGCCCCUUAUGUCCAGGGCUUCACGCAUGCUACAAUGGCUGGUACAGAGAGUGGCGAGCCUGUGAGGGUGAGCGAAUCUCGGAAAGCCGGUCUCAGUCCGGAUUGGGGUCUGCAACUCGACCUCAUGAAGUCGGAGUCGCUAGUAAUCGCAGAUCAGCAACGCUGCGGAAAUACGUUCCCGGG